rnacentral:rRNA from 1 species
UGCAUGGCGUGUCGUCAGCUCGUGUCGUGAGAUGUUGGGUUAAGGUCCCGCAACGAGCGCAACCCUUGCCUUUAGUUGCCAGCAGUUCGGCUGGGCACUCUAAAGGGACUGCCGGUGGUUAAACCGGAGGAAGGUGGGGAUGACGUCAAGUCCUCAUGGCCUUUAUGACCAGGGCUACACACGUACUACAAUGGCCGAUACAAAGGGCAGCGACACUGCGAGGUGAAGCCAAUCCCGUAAAAUCGGUCUCAGUCCGGAUUGGAGUCUGCAACUCGACUCCAUGAAGUUGGAAUCGCUAGUAAUCGUGGAUCAGCAUGCCACGGUGAAUACGUUCCCGGGCCUU